GAUAUAUUAUGAUUGACAGCUGAAUCUGGAAGAGACGAUGCGGGACAACGAGUGUUUUUGCACAUGAACGUCAACGUGUGUCCUGACACGAUAACGUUCAAUUGCAAACAACCGUUCAUGGAUUUUGAGAGGCGUGCAGUCACCGAAGCUAGCGGAGCUUUGCUAACGUCCUAGAGUGCCCUCUAGUGGACCAAUCUGAAAACAACACUUUGGUGGCUGAAUGAAAUCCUCCUGCUGACUGCAAAGUUGUGAUUUACCACGCCCAGAGUGUGUUUGGGAUGUAUUUAAAGCGUGAGUGUCUGAUUUUUAAUUUACCUCUGUGGAGCAGGUUCUCGGGAUGUCUGAAAUGUGUAUGUUUAAAAUGAAAGACUUAAAGACAUCCCCCUCUCCAUUAGAGCCGCUACAUCUGCAAAGUCUUUUAAGUCCACCUCUUCUCCCUGGCAUUUGAGAUCAUCUAAAUAUGCGCUUUAUUAUUAUUGCACAAUCAUGUUUUUAUGUUUCUUCCGACAACUGAGUUUGUAUAUGUUGUCUUAUUUUAAUUAUUUGUAACGCAAAUGUGCAGAAUGAGGAUUUCAUUCAAGCCACCAAAGUGUUGUUUUCAGCUUUGUCCACUAGAGGGUAGUCUAGGACCUUUUUAGAAAACCACUCAAAACUUUUCAGCAGACCAAACCUAUUGUUAAUAAUCUCACGAGGGAAAAUCAGCUUUUACAGGAUCACAGAAUUAUUGCAGCAUUCAGGAAAAAUAGGAAAUCUGCUAAACUACCUAGUCAAACCAUUAUCAAACCCAACACAGAGAGGUUGCACAGUCACUACAGCAAUAAUUUGUUCAAAACAAGAUACCAUGGGAAUAUCAAUCAUAACUGUCAGGGGAACUGGUAACACCAUUAGAGUGAGGUUUACUCAACACAGACAUAUCUCCAAUAAGAAAGAGAAUCAUACUCCAUUGGUACAACAUUUUUUUAAUACAUGGAUGGAAUUCUAUUAGAAUUAGCGUAGUACAAAGUGAACCAAAAAUGCGAAUAUAACUCAAAGACAGAAAGCCGAGAGAAUCUGGAUAUCCAAACUGAACACGACACAUCCCAGGGGACUCUGAGAGGUGGUGAGGGGUCCACAGUGAGGGGCAGUCGAUGGACAGUGCACCAAGUCUACCAGCAAUGGUAUUCUGGACCAAUGUGAAGAAGGGACUUGUGUGCUCUCCCUGCCUCAGACUUUCAAUGUUAUCACGUGGAGGGUGGGGAGAUGUGCUCUCCCUUCCUUAAUGUCUUCCACGUUGGCACUUGGAAGGGCAGGGUGGUCCCAGAGCAGAGGCAUAGUGCCAAAUAUAACUAGUUGCUAUUAUUGAAAUAAAUUUAUUUUGACUAUAGUGCUCCUAACUAAAAAUGUAGUUAAUGGUUAUACACGAUUGCAACCAUUUCGGAUCUUUGGCCUAGGUUUGGAGAUUUCUGUCUCUGUUAUUUCUACCUCCACAACCAGCUGAAAUAAACAUAAGUGAGUGGACAGAGGCUACGAGGAGGCAGGAGUAAGGCUCUCUAGAGAGAGAGAGACACAGAGAGAGAGAGAGAGAGAGACUGACUGUGUCUAUUCCACAUAAAUGUGUUGAAGAGGUCAGAAGGAUAACAAGCGAUACAGACAUGGUGAGUACGUCUUCCAAUUUCCACAGAUUAAAGACCCUAAUGGCAAUUACUUUUAACUUCUGUCACUAGCAAAUUUCUUAAAAAACAUAACAUUGCCAAUCAUUGUGGAUGUCGAUGCUUCAAACCUGGUGGCUAUGGUUCAGGAGGCACAUGCCAAAGUGUCCUUGGGAUAGAAUCUCAACCUCAAAUAGCUCCUGGCGGCUGUACUGGCAGCAUGUGAAUGAGAUGCAUGACUGAUAGACAAAGAUAUUGAUAUAGAAUCACUGUAUGAAUGUGUUUGUGAACGGGUGAGUGGCAACCGAGUUGUAAAGUGCUUAGAGUACUUGAAAUUGACUAGAAAACCACCAAAUAAGCACAAUACAUUGACUAUUCAGUGCUUUGUGUCUGUAUUAUGGUGCAACCAUAUUGUUGCUCUUUGCUACUGUUUUAUACGCGGAGUGCAAAUAUGAAAUGCAAGCAUAUUCUUCUCCCAAAGUGCAAAAAUUAUGGAGAAACUUGUUUUGCAUUAAUGGGGUUAAGGUUACUUUUCAAUCUGCACCUCUAGCCAGCAAUGCACAAGGAUGACACGGUUUCCACAUAUUUGUUUGUUACAAACUCUGAAAUAUUAAUUGUAUUAAGAUUCUAUGUUAAUAUUCUACAUUAAUCGAUGAAGAAAUUAAAAUUGUGUAACAUUGAAGUUUCAAGUAAUGAAAUAUGAUACAAGUACUUUGUGAUGCAGGUGGGACAUCUGAGUGGGUCAUUUUAUUCAGAUUGCAUUGCAGCCAUUGUCUCACAAUAUGUGGCACAUUUUUACAUUUUAUGAUUCAAGAAAACAUUCCUAUCCCGAACAGGAUUACACCUAAUAAGAAAAGAUGCUUUCAGUUUAUUCUGAGGAAACAUUUAACCAUCAGUUACUCACAGGAAGUUACAACAAAAUAGAUAAUAAUUUUAAAUAAAACAAAACAAACAGGACUGGAAUGUUGAAAUAACAUGCAAGUUACAUGACUUCUGACUGGACAGCUGUGAGAGAAGAAAUACGUAUAUAUACAUACUCAGACAAUCAUGCGAGGGUUAUAGAUCAGAUUUAGAUUGUGUUAAGAGAAUUAAACAGCUAGUCUGUUCUGUCCUUCACUUUACAUAUUGCUGCUGCAAUGAAUUGUGGGACAGCAUCUUCUCCUUUCCUUUCAUAAAGGAGGGUCCAGUGUUUUCUAUGCUAAGGUGAUAAGAUAGGAAGCAGUGAAGCUCCUUUCCUUAUCAUUUAGAAAAUUCUAGCAGCUCUUAUCAUGGCUUCCGCUGAAAUACUUCAGGUCCAUUUCACUCAGUUACUAACCUUCCUAAGCAAAACAGACAAUUUGACUGCAGUAAACUUCAUGUUUAUUACACACAACCCAGGCCAGCACUGAGAAAGCUGUUGUAUUUAAAAGUAAUUUAUUACAUAACACACACCAUGUCUCUGUAAUCACAGCUACAGAUUGAUGACGUAGAAUAAAACCAGCUAUGGCAAGGGCAGCUUUGGAUGGACUUCGACGUAAGUGAACUUUGGCCAACAUCGUGUUGUAUCAUAUUUGUUUUACUGUCUUGUAUGGUGGAUAUUGUAAUUCAUUUAAAUAGCUGUCACUUCAGUUCAGUUCUUUAGUCCACAUAAAAAGAACAAACCAUAGUAAGGCCUAUAAAAGAGAGUACUUAUACAUUUUUAAAUCAAUAUUCAAGGCAAAUGUUCAAUCUGCCAACUGAAGUAGAAAUCGAAGGCUACAACUUUGUAUGGCGGUGGCUCAGUGGACAAGAACACUAACCUUGGAACAGGAGGUGGAGUGUUCAACAAUCACCUCGGGCAGAUCCAGGCACAUCCAUUGUCUGUUGUCACAGCUACAGAUCGAUGAAACAAAACAAGCGGAACAUGUGGAACUUUGGAAGGACUUCCACUCAAGUCAACCUUGACCAAUGUGGUGUUGUACCUUUGUCUUGAUUGUAAUUCAUUUAAAUAGCUGUCUCUUCACUUUAGUUCAGUUCUUUAAUCCACAUAAAAACAACAAUUUUGUACCAACAUCAUUCAACAGAGGUAGAAAGUGAAGACGACGAAGAGACUUGCUAUGGCUGGUGUGGCACAAUGGACAAGAACACUGACUUUGGAACAGUAGUUCAAGACUGAGAGCUGAGGAAAGACUAUAACAUGAACAAAUGAGAUUCUGAAAUUGAAACACAAACCUGGAAUACCUUCAAGUGAACGAGUUUCUGGACAAUGGGCAAAUCCCUCAAUGGAUAGAGGAGUGUCAGCCAUAGAAGUAAUCUUUUAUAUGUCAAGUAUUUCUUGAGCUGCAUCAACAACACUUCAAAGUUAAAUUACAUUAUGUUUUUUGGAAUAAAUUAUUGUUAUUUUUCCCCUUGA